rfam:Schistosoma mansoni, Puerto Rico, WGS project CABG01000000 data, contig: 0141
AUCCAGCGGACGAGUCCCAAAUAGAAUAAAACGCGCGUCUUGGAU